rnacentral:lncRNA from 1 species
UCAGGCCAGAAGAGGAAUGUCCUACGUGAACGUGAUUUAACAGCUCCAUCGCCUGGGGCCACGUGGAAUUCUUGAAGCAGCUGUGUCAGACAUCCGAGUCAAGUUGGGGCAUGAGUGACCUCUCAACAUCUAAUGGAGCAUUUACUCCUUUGGACCAGAGGAGAAGAUAUGGAUGAACUCCUUGGACCCACCCUGUUCCCAGCUCAUCUGGGAGAAUGAAGCUAAUUGGUAAAUCCACUGUUUGAUGCUUGUAAUGAAGACUCAAGGAGUUCUGUCUCUACCAAGUUC